AAAGAAUUAGUUUAUUAAAACAUCAGAAUGUCAAACUGAAAAUAUCAACUUAGAUAUUCUUUG
rnacentral:tRNA from 1 species